AUGAUAUUCGAGGUUUUGACGAGGUGGGAUUUAUUUUUACCCGGGAAUUAUUUUGUUCUGAUUUUGAACAAAUUUUCUAAUAAUUUAUAGGCAUUUUCUUCCUUCUCUAAAUUAGUUGAUUUCACAAACCCUAGAUUUCAAAAUUCAGAUGGGAAAUAUUGAAGAAAGAUGAUUCUCGUCUAUCAGGCGGUGGAGCAAUGCAUUUGAAGGGGAAGUGGAUUCUAUGGAUUAGAAGAUAGUAUAUUGAUGCAUUAUACAUGUUUGUUGAUUUGCUACUGAUGUUUUGUGCUUCAAGUUGUGAUCACCUAGUUUGUCAUGUGUAGUUCUGAAAAGCCUUAUCUUCAUCACUCGGAUUGGUUUCAUCUCCUUGUCCCUUACAUUGGGAUCCAAAUUGUUGAUAUAUGCCAGCAAAUGGCAUGUGGAAGGGGCAAGCUGAGGUGAAAGUUAAGGUAAACUGAUAGUUGGUUUGAUCACCUAUUUGCAAGAUCAUGUAUGGUCAGUUUUCUUGCGCUAGUCCCAUAUGCAUUUUUAAUCAUAAAUUUAUGAUCAACUAUAUGUCUCUAAAUUUCAUGGAAUUUAGUUAAUCUUUGCAGGCUUUUGAAUGAGUUUGUUAAGUGCUAAGUUGAAGUUGUAGCUGUUGCUUAUAUUAAUCAUAUUGCUUGUCACGUAGUAAAGUUUUGCCUGCUCCCAUAAAUAUUUGGUUUCUGUAAAAUUUCCAAGUGAAAUCAGUUGUUAAAUGUUCUGUUUUGCACCCUUGGUUGCCAUGGUUUAGCUUCAUUUGUCCAAUCACAUAUGCCCAUUGAGCAGCUUCUUCCUGCCUUGUAGCAGUAUGAGCAUGUUCACCUUAGCUUGGUUUUCAAAUAGUUAUAAACCCUACAGUUACCUAUGUUUGGGCGUUUCAUGUUGUUUGUCGAAUAUGUUUACUACAUACUUCAGGACAAUGCUCCUUUCUCACAUCUAUUAGCAUCAAACCACAGCCAUUUCUUUGGGAGUUAUGUCAGGAAUUUUGUCUAUAGAUGAUUUCCAAGAACAUGAUGCUAUAAUUGGAUUACUGCCAUUGAAAAUGUUUGUUUUGAUGUUUUAGAUUUGUGAGAUGAUGACUGCAAGUGGUCCAAAUAUGAACAGACUCUUUUUGGAAAUUGUGUGAAAUUGACAAGCAUAUUUGUGUGGUAGCUAUUGGAAAUAUAUAUUAUAUAUCUAAACUUUCUUUAAUUUGCAUAAAUUUGGAAAUUCAUGAAUAGACUCAAUACGAUAUCCCAUAAAUGGCUCUUUGUCAAUCCAACCGCUCAAACUUUACCUAGGAUUUAUGUUUUUAGUGUUUAAACUGUUGCGGCAU